UCAGUGCCAGGGAAUGGUCUCUAGUUGUUUGAUUGACAGAUGCCAGAGGCCCAUCAAAGCUGCUCUGUCAGUCCCCUCCUCAGAUGGACAGGAGAAAAAAUAUAACAAAAAAGCUUGUGGGUCAAGAUAAGGACAGGGAGAAAUCACUCAGCAAUUACUGUCAUUGGCAAAACAGACUUAACUUGAGGAAAUGAAUUUAUUACCAGUCAAAUCAAUGGUGACUAACAAAACCAAACCAUGGAACACUUUGCCCCACUCCUCCCUUCUUCUGGGGCUCAGCUUCACUCCUGCUUUCUCUGCCUCCCCUCUCCAGCAGCACGGGGGGACAGAGGCUGCAUCAGUUCAUCGCACACUGUCUCUUCUGCUCCCUCCUCUUCCUCACACCCUUGCCCCGCUGCUCUCCCCCGGUGUGCGGUCCCUGCCACAGGAAACAGUCCUGCCCAAACUCCAGUGUGAGUCCUUCUCACGUGCUGCUCCAGCGGGUCCCUUCUGCUGGGAGCAGGCUUUUGGGAGCAGGCCUUCGGGAUCAGGCCUUUGGGAUCAGACCUUUGGGAUCAGGCCUUAGGGAUCAGACCUUCGGGAUCAGGCCUUUGGGAUCAGGCCUUUGGGAUCAGGCCUUUGGGAUCAGGCCUUUGGGAUCAGGCCUUUGGGAUCAGGCCUUUGGGAUCAGGCCUUUGGGAUCAGGCCUUAGGGAGCCGACUGCUCCAACACACACCCACUAGAGGCCCGUGAGUCCUGCCAGCAAACCUGCCCCAGUGAGGGAUCCUCUCUCUUUCCACGAGUCCACAGAUCCUGCCAGGAGCCUUCUGCAGGAAUUAUGCAUUUCCCGUUCUUGUUCUCAUGCUCGGUAUACACAGGAAUGUCAAGAAGGUCUUUUUUAUCAUACCAUCCCCUUCAGGUAUCUUUUUGAGACAAGGAAAAUGGAAUCAACUUUACAUUUCCACCUUUAAUGAAGAGAAUCUAUGGUUGUUCAAUGCUCUGGACAGCAUUUGCUUUAUCCGUAGAGGUGACAAGGAACUCUACGUGCAUUUCAAGAGAAGAAGAUGGCAUGGCUCACCUUUCAAUGACACCAUUUCCCUCAGCUUAAACUGGUUUUAGAGUAUUUUUGCUCAUAAUGUUGGUGCAAGUUAUAUUUAUAUCUUGUCUACCCAAGUGUUUACAUAUUAAAAUAUUGUCAAUUGUCAACAAUGACAGUGUGUCUGUUCCUCCUCUGGAGACAGAGUAUUAAUAUAUGUUCGUUAGUAGUGUUGUUAAUCAUAUAAUGCUCAAUACACUGUGCAUCUCAAUAAAGUUGACACCCAUCAUCUAAUAUUGGUCUCCUUUUAAGGGGGAAAAAGUGAGAUUCAGGAAUUCAGCUGACAUGUGGCACCCAGUGGUUCCAGCUCCUGAUCUGUUAACUG